CACACAAAUCAUAUCAGGAAUGAAAUAGUCUUUGGUUAAAUAGAUCUAGUUUUGAAAACAGAUUUUACAUUUUACAUGCAUUACAUGGCACAAAUAAUCACAUCAUUACAAUUCAAAUUGUACAAUAAUUGACUUUCUGUUAUAGCAAUCAAAUAAGCAUCAAUAAAUUAUCCUAGAGAGGUUUUAUUUUCAGAACAGUAUUUGAUAGUUCAAUUAUUUAAAUAAAUACAGACUUUUUGGAAAAAUUGUAGAAAUACCUUUUUUUUUUUUUAAGAGACAAAGUCUCACUCUAUCACUCAAGUGUGGUGGCAUGAUCACAGCUCAGGAGGUCAAACUCCUGGCCUCAAAGCAAUCCUCCCACCUCAGCCUCUUGAGUAGCUAGAACUACAGGUGUGCACCACCAUGCUGGGCUUUUUUUUUUUUUUUUUUAAUAAAUAUUUUUUGUAGAGAUGAGGUCUCACUAUGUUGCCCAGGCUGCUCUUGAACUCCUGACCUCAAGUGAUCCUCCUGCCUUGGCCUCCCAAAGUGUUUGGAUUACAGGCAUGAGCUACCUUGCUCAGCCUAGAAAUACUUUUCAACCAAAAAGCGACUCUCUUAUAAACAGCUAAUAUAUACAAGGCAUAUUGAAAUAAGUAACAUCAGAAUUAUACUCUAUGUCAAAAUCAUGGAUAUAUAUAGUCACUGUAAAUAAAAACAUGGUGGUCUGGAUAGACUUUAAUUAGCUUAUUCACUAAAACAGAAUUAUUUCCCACAAUAUUUAGGGGAAGAUUACUGGAAAUAUAGUUCUUCUCUAUAAAAUCAGUGGAGAAUCAUUAUAUACACACUUGGAUACUUAUAUACACCUAUAGCUUACUCAACGUGUUUAUAUCAGAAAUUCGAAGAUGUCCUCUCCUCCUAAGUGACCCACUUAAAAUCUAUACAGCAGAUUUGUUGAAUUCUUGUUAAUUUGUAUUUAACAUUAAAUUGAACAUAUUUAGGAAAAUUUUAAAGAAUUUUACACCUCUUCUGCAAAUGGAUAUAUUAACGGUUAACAAAUGAAAUGCUGUCUCUUUGUACUAGGUUUUGGCUUAUAGCUCAGUUCCUCAUUUUAUUAGGGACUAAUAAGAGAGAGAGUAUAAAUGCUUUAUUAAGCUAAGCCCUAAAUCUUGUUUAUGUUAAGCUUUUUACUCAGAGAUAAUUGUAGAUUCUGAGAUAGUUGUAGAUAACUGUAGAUUCACAUGCAGUUGUAAGAAAUAAUACAGAGAUCCUGUGUUCUUUUUACCCAGUUUUCCCCAAUGGCACAUCUUGCUAAACUACAGUACAAUAUCCCAACCAGGAUUUUCACAUUGAUUUGGUCAAGAUACUGAAUAUGUCCAUCACCACAAGGAUCUCUUGUGCUAUCCUUUUAUAGUUAUGCCCAACUCUCUUGUUCUCCCCACUCCUCCCUGGCAACCCCUAAUCUAUUCUCCAUUCCUAUAAUUUUGCAUUUCAAAAUGUUAUGUAAAUGGAAUCAUACAGUGUGCAAACUUUUAUGAUUGGCUUUGCUCACUCAGCACAAUUCUCUGGAAUUCAUCCCAGUGGUUGCCCAUGUCAGUAAUUAGUUCUUUUUUAUCGCUGAGUAGUAUUCCGGGCAUAGAGGCACCAUCCACUGUUUCACCAGCCACCCGUUAAAGGCCAUCUGAUUUCUCCAAGUUUUUGAACAUUAUGGAUAAAACUGAUAUGAACAUUCAUGCACAAGUUUUUGUGUGAACCUCUUUUCAUUUCUCUUGUAUAAAUGCCCAGGAGCAAUUGAGGGUCAGUAUGGCAGUUGUAUGUUUAGUUUUAUGAGAAACUGGCAAAUGGUUUUGCGGAGUGGCUGUUCCAUUUUCUAUUCCCACCACUAGUGUAUGACUGACCCGGUUUAUCUGCAUCCUUGUCAGCGUUUGGUGUUAUCAUUAUUUUUUAUUUUAGCAAUUUUGGUAGCUAUGUAGUGAUAUCUCAUUGUAGUAUUAGUUUGCAGUUCCCCUAGUGACUAGUGCUGUUGACUGUCUUUUCAUGUCUUUUCAUGCGCUUAUUUGCCAUUUUUAUAUCCUCUGCAGUGAAAUGUCUGUUCAUGUGCUCCAUUUUCUAAUUAGAAUUUUUUAGCUGUUGAGUUUUGACAGUUCUUUAUAUAUUCUAGAUACUAAUCUUUUGUUGGAUAUGUGGUUUGGAAAUAUUUUCUCCCAGUAUGUGGCCUGUCUUCUCGGCCUUUUAACAUGGUCUUUUGCAGAACAAAUGUUUUAAAUUCUGAUGAAGUUUAAUUUAUCAAAUUUUCUUUUAUGAAUUGUGCUUUUGGUAUCAAGUCUAACAACCCUUUGCUUAGCCCUAGUUCCAAAAGAUUUUCUAUAUCCUAUAGUUUUAUAGUUUUACAUUUUAUUUUUACAGAUAUGAUCUGAGUUAAUUUUUGCAUAAGGUAUGAAGUUUAGUCCAAGGUUCAUUUUAUUUUCCUAUGGAUGUCCACUUACUCCACACUUAUUGAAAAGGCUAUCCUCUGUUGAAUUAGUUUUGUACUUUUGUAAAAGAAAAUCAGUUGAGCAUAUUUGUGUGGGCCUAUUUCUAGAUUCCCUAUUCUGUUCCAUCAAUGUGUUUCUAUGCCUCCACCAAAUACCACACUUCUUGAAUACUGUAGCUACAUCAUAACUCUAUAUUAAAUAGAAUGAUUUCUCCUACCUUAUUCUGCUUUUACAAGACUGUUUUAGCUAUUUCAAUGCCUGUGCCUUUCCAUGUAACUUUUAAAAUAAGCUUGUAUAGGUCUACAAAAUCCUUGUUGAGAUUUUGAUAGGAAUUGCAUUAAACCUAGAGAUGGAGAUGGGGAGAACUGAUAUCUUUACUGUUUGUAUCUUCCAAUCCAAGAACAUGGUAUCUCUCUUUCUUUGUUUAGGUCAUUAAUUUCUUUUCUUAGCAUUUAAAAAUUUUCACUACAUAGGUCCUGGGUAAGUUUUGUUUAUACGGAAGUAUUUCACUUUGGAGUGAUUGCAAAUGGUAUUGUGUUUUUAGUUUUUUUCCCCACAUGUUCAUCGUUAGCAUAGAGAAAUGCAAUUGACUUUUGUAUGCUGAUCUUGUGUCCUGAGACCUUGUUGCACUCACAUACUAGUUCCAGAGUUUUUUUUUAAAAAAAAUAGAUUAUUUGGAAUUUCUAUGUAGGCAAUCCUCUCAUCUCUAAAUAGGGGUACUUUUUUUUUCUUUCGAUCUGUAUGCAUUUAAUCUCUUUUUCU
rnacentral:lncRNA from 1 species